GAUGUAGACACUAUUCAGACCAUC
rnacentral:siRNA from 1 species